ACACACACACACACACACACACACACACUGUCUCUCUCUCUCUCACACACUCCAGGCUGCGGGUUGGCCAGAGCCUGGAAAUCGCAGAUUUCACCAGGAAAUCGCCGAGGUACCGGAAUAGGUGUUGCCUCCCAAAACUAAUUCCUGCUUCCCCAAACACUUUGGUGAAGAAAUGAAUCCAGCCCAGCUCGCCGAGGCAUCCAGGUCUCCGUUCUAUUUUGGUCUCCAGGCUCUUCGUGAAAGCCAGAUCAAGGGAGAAAGAGAACCGGCGGCUGGCCUCGGACUCUAAGCGGUGCGCAGCUCCAGCCCGGGCGGAUCGGCCCUGAACCCACAAAGGACUCCUCGCUCCUUCAAGCCUCCACCACCUCGCAGCCGGGGAGGCAACUGGAGCGAAACCAGCGACAGAUGCGGCCAUGGACAAGACAAGGAGAGCGUCUUCCCUCUCGCCCCUCGGGUUCCCUCCUGCUGGGGACUGACCGCGUCUU
rnacentral:sRNA from 1 species